UGCCUACGUGAUGAAGCCUCUGUCCCUAAACUUCGGGGUUCAGAGAGCUUCUGGAUUGGUGAGCACAUCCACAUACGAGGAAGCUGACACACCCAACUGCAUAAGGACAGAAGCUUCUGUGCCUGGCACCCUUCUGGACCUCACCCUGUUCCUCUUCAUCUGGCUAUUCAUUUGUAUCCUUUAUAAUAUUAUUUAUAAUAAUAUAAGAAAAAUGCUUAGACAACAGCCUCCGAGAGCCAACCAGAUUUCCUCCAAGAAGAAGACCCACCCUGGCCAGCAUUCUACCACAGGAAUGAUUAAUCUGGGCUUUGGGGUCCACCAACCCCUCUUUGCUGUCUCCCUCUGGUGCUUCCCAUCCAAGAGCUAACAGGGAGCCCGCAGGGAAGCCCGCAGUGUGGUUUGCAGAGUCUGAACUGCACAAGGCUGAGCCCGGAAGGGCAGGUUUGGAUCUGAGAGACGGCAAAAGACCCCGUGGGCAAGGCAUCCCUUGAUAGGAAACUAAACUACCCCCUCCAGCAGUUAAGUACCGCACCGAACCAGCAAGACCCUGCAUGACUGACCCCAAGACAAUGGCCGUCCUGACCUUUACUGCCCGCCUGCACAUUCCCACCGACCUUUGCCCCACAUUUUCCUCAUAUAAACCUGGAAGUGUUUUCGGCACUUUGGAGACAGUCUUUGAGACUCUAGUCCACAGUCUUCCCGGUGCUGGCCUUGCUGAAAUAAAUUCCUUUCUUGUUUCA